GGGUCGGUGGGGAAUUUUAUUUGAGACUUAAAUCUAAAACCAGAGAAUCAAAAAAGGGAGAUCUCAGAUUUCUUCUUCCUCUUUUCUCUCUUCCUUUCUCCCUGCGACCGAAACUUGUGGAACAAAACUGAAAUUUCUCUUGCAUGGUUGAGCUUUGUGGUCUUAGAGUUUGGCUAAGUUGUAGAUGAUGUUGAUUUGUGCGGGCUAACUUCAUAGAGGAGAUGGAGAAAUUCUUUUUCCCAUUCCAAUUAGAAGCUAUUUGAAGUAGUUACUCUCUUCACUCGACUGAAUAAGUAAUCCUCACAAAUCAAUAGGUACCGGAAUGCGAGUAUAUAAUUUUGUUGGGACUGGGUAUGAAAUAUAUAUAAGGUUUUCCUGAGCACCUUAUGCGCUGUGAUUGAAGAUAGUUUUAUGCGUGGGCUAACUAUGAGAAUGAAUUUAGUGGAUUAAUAUCAAUUCAUAUUUUAUUUUA